CAUCUAAGGAAGGCAGCAGGCGCGUAAAUUACCCAAUCCUGACUCAGGGAGGUAGUGACAAGAAAUAACGGACCGAAGCCUAUGUUUCGGGAUUGCAAUGAGUAGAAUUUAAACCCCUUUACGAGGAUCAAUUGGAGGGCAAGUCUGGUGCCAGCAGCCGCGGUAAUUCCAGCUCCAAUAGCGUAUAUUAAAGUUGUUGCAGUUAAAAAGCUCGUAGUUGGAUUUCUGGGAGGGCGCCAAUGUCCGCUCGAUUGCGUGUGCAGCGGCGCCCUUCCAUCCUUCUGUUAACGUUUCUUGGUAUUCAGUUACUGGUUUCGGGCUC
rnacentral:rRNA from 1 species